rnacentral:lncRNA from 1 species
AUCGGCAGGUGGACGCUCAACCACUGCGCCACCAGGGAAGCACUAAAAGUUAUUCUUUUAAACAGAUUCACUCAACGGCUCCGCAUCCCACUGCGGUGUUUUGCAGUCUCUUGCAGUCCUGAAAGAACUAGCCUCAGUGAGCUACAGAGCCAAGCCACGCGGGGUAGAGAAGCCUCCUCUUUCGUGCAUAACCCUUUAAACCCUCCGGGAGGGUGUGGCACCAGGGCUUAUGGGAAAUGUAGUCUUACGUUCCCUGGCUCACACUGCGCGUGGUUCAGUAAGCCCUCUGCCGCGGCUCGUCCUGCGCACGUGCAGUUCACUAGCCCCGGUGUCUCGCUUUUCCGGGUCUUGCGGAGAAAAUCCUGGACCGUCCAGGUCUGCGCGCGCUCAGGGAGCGGGUGCUGCCUGAGUCAGAGCUGCGGCUGUACAUACAGCCUUCUCUGUACUUUCCCAAAAGGAACAGAAGAAGAACAAGUCCCCGGUGAGUUGUUUAUUCAUUUCUCACAUUGUCUUCCAUUGCAAAAAUGAUUCAAGAUUAAAAUGAUAAAAAUUAUUAAGGAAUAUAUAGAGUUAACAGAUCUAAAACAAGGAAAAGUCAACAUUUAAUUAUAUGGAGGUAAUCAUAGUUGCUUUGUUAGUAUAUAUAUUACACAUAUUGUAUAACUCUCAUUUUUACAAUAAUAAUUAUGUGCG